rnacentral:rRNA from 1 species
CCCUUAGAUGUUCUGGGCCGCACGCGCGCUACACUGAUGCAUUCAACAAGCCUAGCCUUGACCGAGAGGUCCGGGUAAUCUUUGAAACUGCAUCGUGAUGGGGCUAGAUUAUUGCAAUUAUUAAUCUUCAACGAGGAAUGCCUAGUAAGCGUGAUUCAUCAAAUCGCGUUAAUUACGUCCCUGCCCUUUGUACACACCGCCCGUCGCUCCUACCGAUUGAAUGUGUUGGUGAGGAGCUCGGAUUGGCAGCAGUUGGUGGUUCGCCACCGGCUAUUGCUGAGAAGUCCUCCAAACCGCCCCAUUUAGAGGAAGGAGAAGUCGUAACA